rnacentral:misc_RNA from 1 species
GAUGAAGAACGUAGCGAAAUGCGAUAAGUAAUGUGAAUUGCAGAAUUCCGUGUAUCAUCGAAUCUUUGAACGCACAUUGCGCCCCCUGGCAUUCCGGGGGGCAUGCCUGUCCGAGCGUCAUUUCUGCCCUCAAGCACGGCUUGUGUGUUGGGUGUGGUCCCCCCGGGGACCUGCCCGAAAGGCAGCGGCGACGUCCGUCUGGUCCUCGAGCGUAUGGGGCUCUGUCACUCGCUCGGGAAGGACCUGCGGGGGUUGGUCACCACUAUAUUUUACCACGGUUGACCUCGGAUCAGGUAGGAGUUACCCGCUGAACUUAAGCAUAUCAAUAAGCGGAGGA